GAUGAAGAACGUAGCGAAAUGCGAUAAGUAAUGUGAAUUGCAGAAUUCAGUGAAUCAUCGAAUCUUUGAACGCACAUUGCGCCCGCCAGUAUUCUGGCGGGCAUGCCUGUUCGAGCGUCAUUUCAACCAUCAAGCCCUGCUUGCGUUGGGGUCCUGCGGCUGCCCGCAGGCCCUGAAAACCAGUGGCGGGCUCGCUAGUCACACCGAGCGCAGUAAUACAUCUCGCUUUGGGCGUGCGGCGGGUUCUUGCCGUUAAACACCCCCUUUUUACCAAGGUUGACCUCGUAUCAGGUAGGAAUACCCGCUGAACUUAAGCAUAUCAAUAAGCGGAGGA
rnacentral:misc_RNA from 1 species